GGUAACGAUGGGGAGGCGGAGGGGAGAACACGCGGGGGGCAUGCGUUGGGCGGAGUUGUUGGGCGUAAAGAGAGUGUGGACGGUCAGACAGGUCCGUGAUGCAAAGUCGAGGCGCAACCGCGAGACGCCGAUGGAAACCGUCUGAGUAGAGUCAGGAAGAGGAGAGUGGAAUUCCUGGUGUAGCGGUGAAAUGCGCAGAUAGCAGGAAGAACACCCGUGGCUAAGGCGGCUCUCUAGGACGGUACUGACGCUGAGACGCGAAAGCGUGGGGAGCGAACAGGAUUAGAUACCCUUGUAGUC
rnacentral:rRNA from 1 species